rnacentral:lncRNA from 1 species
AUGGAUCCCUGCUGGACCUGGGGGGCGAUGGCCUUACUCUGCCUCCUCAUGCCGGGGGGGCACCCCAAUCCUUGCCGGGUGUCCAUCUACCCCGAGGAACCGACGGUGGAGUUCGGCAGCUCUCUCCUCCUCAAUUGCACCAGUUCUUGCCGUAACUACAGCCGGCUGAACUGGGAGGUCUCCAUCACCAAGAUGGGGACGCAGGGACCCGGCUGGGUGUCCCUCAGCAUCCCCAACGUCACCAGCUGGAGCUUGGAGCUCCAGUGCUUCGGCAUUUUCGGGCAGGAGCGGAAUAUCGCCGAGACCACCCUCCACGCUUACCGGUUCUCGCCCCCCCAAAUUUACCUGGAGGGUGACACGGUGGCCGGCAAAGAGGCGCGUGUCACCUGCAACGCGUCCGCCCAGGUCUCCCCCCACGACCCCCCAAAUCUCCACCUGACGCUGUGGGGUGGGGGGCUCCCCCCCAGCACCCGCCGAGGUCCCUCCGUGGGGUUGAGUUUCACGGCGCAGCUGGAGCAGCACGGCCAGGAGGUGAUGUGCGAGGCCGUGUUGCGGCUCGGGCGCCGUACGGUCAACGCCAGCGCCGCGGUUACGCUGUGGGUCUGGGCUGCCCCCCACGAUGUCCAGGUGUGGGCACCGCAGACCGCCUUCAUCACCGGUGACAACCUCACGGUGACGUGCCGGGCAGAGGGGAACCCCCCGCCGCAGCUCCGCUGGGAGAUGCCCACCAACACCAGCUGGGAGCUGUGGGACGGCGGCACCACCAUCACCAUCCCGGCUGCCCAACGGGUUCACGACGGCACCUACCGCUGCCUGGCCGAGAACCGCUACGGCACCGGCGCUGCCAGCAUCGACCUCGUCUUCCGAGGUGAGGGGUGCCUGCGGUGGCACCUGGUGGCACCCAGUCCCGCACCGGGGCCGGGUGCCGCGGUGAGGGGUUGGCACAGCACAGGCGUAAGCGAUGAAGAAGGGGAUGGAGGUGGCAUCACCCAGCGAUGCCAAUCCCGGUGCCCGGCUCAACCCCAUCCUCUCUCCCCGUAGGGUCCUCCCGCAGCCCCCUGAUCCCCGUGGUCGUGACCUUGGCCAUGGUCACCGUACUGGCCGUUGUCGCCGUCUUCUGGUGGCUUUAUCGCACCCAAGGCUGGAAGCCGAUGCCUAGCUAGCCCAGCUAGUCCUGCCUUGCUGAGCCGUACGUGGGAGCAAAGAGACAAUUUCCUCCACGUCCCUGUGUAUUUUUUUCCCACCUUUUCCCGCUUUGCUGGCUCCGAUCUCCGGCGAGGGAGGUGAAUUGGAAGGGAGGGUGAGGCGCCGGCUCUGGGCAUCGCUCCCGGCUCCUGGCACCGCGUUGUCUCCGAGGGGAAAAUCCUGGGACAGGUCUGGGCAUGGCCCGAGUGGAGCCGUUUCCUGGCUCUCACGUGGCUGAGCGUUAAUGAGCCGCCCUCGUUAGUGGGAGGGCAGAGGGACACGUGGGGCACCCGUUGUGAUCCUGCCAGCC